UUUUUUUAUAAGUCGAGUCAGAUGUGUAGGUAAAGGAACCGAGAACAAUUUAAAUUUUUACUCACGUUGGACAACCACAUUAAAAUUCACAGUGAUAGUCCCUACAUCGUUGCUGACCAAACAGGUGUACCGCCCUUUAUCCUGAAGAGCUACAGAGCCGAUACGGAAAACACUGCGACUGGAGGAAGUAGUCAUAUUUGAUGGUAGCGUCCAGGUGUAUGAGGGGCUGGGGUUUCCCACAGCAGCGCAGUUCAGUUGUAGAGGGGUUCCCUCUAAAACAGUAAGGUUAAUCGGAUCUCUAUGGGAUGACCCCUCUCGAUGAGGCUUAUCUGUGUGUUGAUUAAGAGAAAUACAACACCUGUUAUUAAGGGCCCGUGUUAACUUUGAUACUGCCAGCUACAUAAUAUUGACUAGGCUGGAAACACAAGUAGAGAUCUCUUCUACCAGUUUCAUUACUGCAAUUGUGGUCGACCAAUUUGCUCUAAAACCAUAAUGGUCCACCUUAAUGGCAGUGAUGGCUUCUGGUGUUCUAUAUUGAAUCAAUUUGCAGAUUUUUCCAAACCAUUGGCUGCAUUGGGGAGGCAAUGCUGACAAACAGUGCAGUUGGCAGAAGUUCGGUCGCCAUGCUUCACUACCAGUCUGGACGGAGUGAACACAGGUUUAUCUGCACAGUUUUCAUCUGUAACACACAUUAAAUUUGACAUUUACAUCAAACGGCAGAUACAGUUUUAAAGCCAUUGCCAUUCCACACACACUGACAAUCAGAGCUAUUGUAGUUUUGCUUUUGUUCAAUUUUACAUAUUUUCUUUAAGACAAUCUCUUGUUAAUUGCCGAAAUUGUAUGGUGCCAGGCAAAUUGAGAGUAUAAGUACAAUUCAACACUGACAAAAAAAGCAACUGUCCUGGUUUAAUGAAGCAUAUGUAUAUCUUA